rnacentral:sRNA from 1 species
GGAGUGAGCCCAAAGGUUCGAAAGGUGUUGCAGCUUCUUCGCCUUCGUCAAAUCUUCAAUGGAACCUUUGUAAAGCUCAACAAGGCUUCGAUUAACAUGCUGAGGAUUGUAGAGCCAUAUAUUGCAUGGGGGUACCCCAAUCUGAAGUCAGUAAAUGAACUAAUCUACAAGCGUGGUUAUGGCAAAAUCAAUAAGAAGCGAAUUGCUUUGACAGAUAACGCUUUGAUUGCUCGAUCUCUUGGUAGGUUCUAUUUGGGGGAAAAUUUGGUAUUAGACCAUGCGAUAAUUUCUCACCCUCUUGUGGCCGUACAUUUCUCACUAUUGUGAAUCUUCAUGUGUUCCCUAUGAUUCUUGAUUUAGCUUAAAAGAAAACGUAAGACAUGGUUUCAUUAGCUUGAACCUUAUCUUUGUAAAGCCAUGCAUUUACCUUGUUUAUUCCUGGUUAUGUUUUUAUCUCACAGCCUAUUCAAAAAGAUUUUGAAUAAUUAUUUCAAAACUUUUUGCAACUUUAAUAAUCUUAAAUAACCUUAAAAUAUUUAGGUAAAUACGGCAUCAUCUGCAUGGAGGAUUUGAUUCAUGAGAUCUAUACUGUUGGAAAACGCUUCAAAGAGGCAAAUAACUUCCUGUGGCCCUUCAAAUUGUCUUCUCCACGAGGUGGAAUGAAGAAAAAGACCACCCA